CGCUGGCGGCGCGCUUAAUACAUGCAAGUCGAACGAGAAGCCAGAGCUUGCUCUGGUGGAAAGUGGCGAACGGGUGAGUAACACGUGAGAAACCUGCCCCAAAGAUUGGGAUAGGCCUUGGAAACGAGGUCUAAUACCAAAUACCUUCUUUUAACACAUGUUAAAAAGAAGAAAUGCUCCGGCGCUUUGGGAUGGUCUCGCGAUCUAUCAGCUUGUUGGUGAGGUAACGGCUCACCAAGGCAUCGACGGAUAGCUGGUCUGAGAGGAUGUCCAGCCACAUUGGAACUGAGACACGGUCCAAACUCCUACGGGAGGCAGCAGUAGGGAAUCUUGCACAAUGAGGGAAACCUUGAUGCAGCGACGCCGCGUGCGGGACGAAGGCCCUAGGGUUGUAAACCGCUUUCAGUAGGGACGAAAGUGACGGUACCUACAGAAGAAGCCCCGGCCAACUAUGUG
rnacentral:rRNA from 1 species